UUUGAUUUUGUUCUUCACGCCAGUACUCAAAAAGCAGAGAAACUUUCCCAUAAUUUCAUUGAUUAGAAUAGUUUUUUGUUUGCCAGGAAGUGUUCGCAAACAUGCCUAUCAGAAGCAGUCAACAGACAAGGCCAUCGCAGAGAAAAUGUCAACAUGGUUCACGAAUGCGCGUGAUCGAGGACUAGGAGGAAAACGUGCGGCGAGAGGAGUUGAAGUCGUCAAUGAACAACAAUUGCCAGGUGGAAAUGACCCUGCCCUGCCAGAGCCACAAAACACUGAUAGUGACAAUUAAGAAUAUUAUAUAACCAUAGUGAUGAACAGUGACUUGCCAAAACAUGGAAAUGCAGGACAAAAUCUCAGGUUUUUGUUUGCCAGGAAGUGUUCGCAAACAUGCCUAUCAGAAGCAGUCAACAGACAAGGCCAUCGCAGAGAAAAUGUCAACAUGGUUCACAAAUGCGCGUGAUCGAGGACUAGGAGGAAAACGUGCGGCGAGAGGAGUUGAAGUCGUCAAUGAACAACAAUUGCCAGGUGGAAAUGACCCUGCCCUGCCAGAGCCACAAAAUACUGAUAGUGACAAUUAAGAAUAUUAUAUAACCAUAGUGAUGAACAGUGACUUGCCAAAACAUGGAAAUGCAGGACAAAAUCUCAGGUUUAUUCAAUGACAUUGGUGCUUUGACAUUGUUGAUACUCAGUAUCAACUGCAAUUCAUUAUAGAAAUCAAAUAAAUAUUUUCAUUUUUUUAUCA